GACGAACGCUGGCGGCGUGCUUAACACAUGCAAGUCGAGCGGAGCGGCGAACGGGUGAGUAACGCGUGAGUAACUGCCCCCCUCUCUGGGAUAACAGUUGGAAACGGCUGCUAAUACCGGAUAGUGGGGGAUGACUCGCGUCCUCUCAGCUUGUUGGUGGGGUAGUGGCCUACCAAGGCGACGACGGGUAGCCGGCCUGAGAGGGCGACCGGCCACAGUGGGCACGGGUACCGCCCAGACUCCUACGGCAGGCAGCAAUGGGGAAUAGAGCACAAUAGGGGAAGCCCUGAUGCAGCAACGCCGCGUGCGGGAGGACGGCCUUCGGGUUGUAAACCGCUUUCAGCCAUGACGCGGUAGUGGCAGAAGAAGCAACGGCUAACUACGUGCCAGCCGCCGCGGUAAUAC
rnacentral:rRNA from 1 species